UUGAGCCGAAACUUCAAGACCUUGGCUUCCAAGCUUGAUCCUUCGCACUCCACUUGCACUCGCCAUGGAUUCUAAUAUCUCUUUGGAAGUUUCGAGAUGAGUUUAUAAGAGCGGAAUCCAAUUAGCUAUGCCGCCAACUUGAACUAGCCUAUUGCUAUCAUAGUCAAUGUAAAGACGAAUUUGAAGUCUAAAACAAAGGGUCAAAGUUGAAAAAUAAUAAAUAAUCAAAUAUCUUUUUUUU